rnacentral:rRNA from 1 species
GACGAACGCUGGCGGCGUGCCUAAUACAUGCAAGUAGAACGCACAGUUUAUACCGUAGCUUGCUACACCAUAGACUGUGAGUUGCGAACGGGUGAGUAACGCGUAGGUAACCUGCCUGGUAGCGGGGGAUAACUAUUGGAAACGAUAGCUAAUACCGCAUAAUAUUAAUUAUUGCAUGAUAAUUAAUUGAAAGGUGCAAUUGCACCACUACCAGAUGGACCUGCGUUGUAUUAGCUAGUAGGUGAGGUAACGGCUCACCUAGGCGACGAUACAUAGCCGACCUGGGAGGGUGGUCGGCCACACUGGGACUGAGACACGGCCCAGACUCCUACGGGAGGCAGCAGUAGGGAAUCUUCGGCAAUGGACGAAAGUCUGACCGAGCAACGCCGCGUGAGUGAAGAAGGGUUUCGGAUCGUAAAGCUCUGUUGUAAGAGAAGAACGGGUGUGAGAGUGGAAAGUUCACACUGUGACGGUAUCUUACCAGAAAGGGACGGCUAACUACGUG